GAUGAAGAACGCAGCGAAAUGCGAUACUUGGUGUGAAUUGCAGAAUCCCGUGAACCAUCGAGUCUUUGAACGCAAGUUGCGCCCGAAGCCACUAGGCCGAGGGCACGCCUGCCUGGGCGUCACACGCCGUUGCCCCCCCAUCUACUCCUUCGGGAUUGCGGGGGGGCGGAUGAUUGCCUCCCGUGCGCCUAGCCGCGCGGUUGGCAUAAAUACCAAGUCCUCGGCGACGCACGCCACGACAAUCGGUGGUUGCGAAACCUCGGUUGCCCGUCGUGUGCGUUCGUCGCGCAUCGAGGGCUCGAAAAAAUGCUCGGCUCCGGCUGGGCUUUCAACGCGACCCCAGGUCAGGCGGGGUUACCCGCUGAAUUUAAGCAUAUCAAUAAGCGGAGGA
rnacentral:misc_RNA from 1 species